UACGUAGGUGACAAGCGUUGUCCGGAUUUACUGGGCGUAAAGAGCGCGCAGGCGGUCGUUUCAAGUCGAGUGUGAAAGCCCCCGGCUCAACUGGGGAGGGUCACUCGAUACUGAUCGACUCGAAGGCAGGAGAGGGAAGUGGAAUUCCCGGUGUAGUGGUGAAAUGCGUAGAUAUCGGGAGGAACACCAGUGGCGAAGGCGACUCCUGGCCUGUUCUUGACGCUGAGGCGCGAAAGCGUGGGGAGCGAACAGGA
rnacentral:rRNA from 1 species